CUUCCGGAGCUAACGCGUUAAGUCGACCGCCUGGGGAGUACGGCCGCAAGGUUAAAACUCAAAUGAAUUGACGGGGGCCCGCACAAGCGGUGGAGCAUGUGGUUUAAUUCGAUGCAACGCGAAGAACCUUACCUGGUCUUGACAUCCACAGAACUUUCCAGAGAUGGAUUGGUGCCUUCGGGAACUGUGAGACAGGUGCUGCAUGGCUGUCGUCAGCUCGUGUUGUGAAAUGUUGGGUUAAGUCCCGCAACGAGCGCAACCCUUAUCCUUUGUUGCCAGCGGUCCGGCCGGGAACUCAAAGGAGACUGCCAGUGAUAAACUGGAGGAAGGUGGGGAUGACGUCAAGUCAUCAUGGCCCUUACGACCAGGGCUACACACGUGCUACAAUGGCGCAUACAAAGAGAAGCGACCUCGCGAGAGCAAGCGGACCUCAUAAAGUGCGUCGUAGUCCGGAUUGGAGUCUGCAACUCGACUCCAUGAAGUCGGAAUCGCUAGUAAUCGUGGAUCAGAAUGCCACGGUGAAUACGUUCCCGGGCCUUGUACACACCGCCCGUCACACCAUGGGAGUGGGUUGCAAAAGAAGUAGGUAGCUUAACCUUCGGGAGGGCGCUUACCACUUUGUGAUUCAUGACUGGGGUGAAGUCGUAACAAGGUAACCGUAGGGGAACCUGCGGUUGGAUCACCUCCUU
rnacentral:rRNA from 1 species